UGAGUUUUGAAAUUUCUUUCAGAUUGUCUUUGAUGAGCUGUUGGUAACGCAGGAAGAUUUGCUGGCGACUCAAAACAGAUGUUUCCGACCAGUUCCAAAAAGCCUUUUUGCAAGAAGCUACAGCUGCCUCCAUUUCACUAGUGGUAGCUUUUGGUACACGAGCAACAACUUCAUUUGUGGCUGGGUUGUGGAUAUCAAUCCAUUCUGUGGUUUUGGACUCGACAAACUUCCCAUCGAUGAACAGUUUGGUUGUUGGCACAGAGGAGGAGGAGGCGGCGGCCGAAGCGAUCCAGGGAACACCGGCUCUCCGCGGCAGCCUGAGCGCCACGCGCCGCCGCCCGCCCCAAACGCCACGCGCCGCCGCCGCUGCCGCCAUCCCGGCCGAGGGUCGCUGCGCCGCGGAC
rnacentral:lncRNA from 1 species